AAGUGUGGACGCCAGUCUGCAUGGAGCCGACCUUGAAAUACCACCCUUUAAUGUUUGAUGUUCUAACGUUGACCCGUAAUCCGGGUUGCGGACAGUGUCUGGUGGGUAGUUUGACUGGGGCGGUCUCCUCCUAAAGAGUAACGGAGGAGCACGAAGGUUGGCUAAUCCUGGUCGGACAUCAGGAGGUUAGUGCAAUGGCAUAAGCCAGCUUGACUGCGAGCGUGACGGCGCGAGCAGGUGCGAAAGCAGGUCAUAGUGAUCCGGUGGUUCUGAAUGGAAGGGCCAUCGCUCAACGGAUAAAAGGUACUCCGGGGAUAACAGGCUGAUACCGCCCAAGAGUUCAUAUCGACGGCGGUGUUUGGCACCUCGAUGUCGGCUCAUCACAUCCUGGGGCUGAAGUAGGUCCCAAGGGUAUGGCUGUUCGCCAUUUAAAGUGGUACGCGAGCUGGGUUUAGAACGUCGUGAGACAGUUCGGUCCCUAUCUGCCGUGGGCGCUGGAGAACUG
rnacentral:rRNA from 1 species